AUUGAACGCUGGCGGCAGGCUUAACACAUGCAAGUCGAGCGGAGAGAGGUAGCUUGCUACUGAUCUUAGCGGCGGACGGGUGAAUAAUGCUUAGGAAUCUGCCUAUUAGUGGGGGACAACAUUCCGAAAGGAAUGCUAAUACCGCAUACGUCCUACGGGAGAAAGCAGGGGAUCUUCGGACCUUGCGCUAAUAGAUGAGCCUAAGUCGGAUUAGCUAGUUGGUGGGGUAAAGGCCUACCAAGGCGACGAUCUGUAGCGGGUCUGAGAGGAUGAUCCGCCACACUGGGACUGAGACACGGCCCAGACUCCUACGGGAGGCAGCAGUGGGGAAUAUUGGACAAUGGGGGGAACCCUGAUCCAGCCAUGCCGCGUGUGUGAAGAAGGCCUUAUGGUUGUAAAGCACUUUAAGCGAGGAGGAGGCUACUGAGACUAAUACUCUUGGAUAGUGGACGUUACUCGCAGAAUAAGCACCGGCUAACUCCGUGCCAGCCGCCGCGGUAACAC
rnacentral:rRNA from 1 species